rnacentral:rRNA from 1 species
GUGGGGAAUAUUCCGCAAUGGACGAAAGUCUGACGGAGCAACGCCGCGUGAGUGAUGAAGGUUUUCGGACUGUAAAGCUCUGUUGUUUAGGACGAAAGUGCCUGUUGCGAACAGUUACAGGUAUUGACGGUACUAAACGAGGAAGCCACGGCUAACUACGUGCCAGCAGCCGCGGUAAUACGUAGGUGGCAAGCGUUGUCCGGAAUUAUUGGGCGUAAAGAGCAUGUAGGCGGAGAUUUAAGUCUGGUGUGAAAAUGCGGGGCUCAACCCCGUAUUGCGAUGGAAACUGAAUUUCUUGAGUGCAGGAGAGGAAAGGGGAAUUCCCAGUGUAGCGGUGAAAUGCGUAGAUAUUGGGAGGAACACCAGUGGCGAAGGCGCCUUUCUGGACUGUGUCUGACGCUGAGAUGCGAAAGCCAGGGUAGCGAACGGGAUUAGAUACCCGUGUAGUCC